GCUCGUAGUUGAACCUUGGGCCUGGCUGACCGGUCCGCCUCACCGCGUGCACUGGUUCGGCCGGGUCUUUCCUUCUGCGGAACGGCAUGCCCUUCACUGGGUGUGUUUUGGGAAGCAGGACUUUUACUUUGAAAAAAUUAGAGUGUUCAAAGCAGGCCUUUGCUCGAAUACAUUAGCAUGGAAUAAUGGAAUAGGACGGUGCUCCUAUUUUGUUGGUUUCUAGGAGAGCCGUAAUGAUUAAUAGGGACAGUUGGGGGCAUCCGUAUUCAGUUGUCAGAGGUGAAAUUCUUGGAUUUACUGAAGACNAACUACUGCGAAAGCAUUUGCCAAAGAUGUUUUCAUUAAUCAGUGAACGAAAGUUAGGGGAUCGAAGACGAUCAGAUACCGUCGUAGUCUUAACCAUAAACUAUGCCGACUAGGG
rnacentral:rRNA from 1 species